rnacentral:rRNA from 1 species
UACGUAGGGUCCGAGCGUUGUCCGGAGUUACUGGGCGUAAAGCGCGCGCAGGCGGCGGUGCUGGCCCGGCGUGAAAGCCCCCGGCUCAACCGGGGGAGGUCGUCGGGGACCGCACCGCUUGAGGGCGGUAGGGGCUGGUGGAAUGCCUGGUGUAGUGGUGAAAUGCGUAGAGAUCAGGCGGAACACCCGUGGCGAAGGCGGCCAGCUGGGCCGUCCCUGACGCUGAGGCGCGAAGGCGUGGGGAGCGAACGGGG